AUUUAUGCUUACAAGAACUGGAGUACAGGCCAGAGGUGCUGGGGGUGAGAGGAUUCACCAGAGACAGAGUGACUGAACAAGCAGACUGACUGAAAUACACUGUUAAAGGGAGCAGCAGUCCCCCUAUUCUAGAAGAGAACCUCCAAGAAAGGAUGUUGUCUGCCUGUUCAUCAUUGUAUUCCUAGGCCCUGGAAUAGUAACUGGUAUAUUAGGAGGCAUGCUUUAAUGAUGUGCUGCAGAUGAGUAUUGAGAAUAAUUGAAGAA